UCUCCGUUGGUGAACCUGCGGAGGGAUCAUUA
rnacentral:rRNA from 2 species